rnacentral:antisense_RNA from 1 species
CUCUAUGGCGGCUGUGCGUGGGCACGCUUCGGCGUGGCCGGUUUCCGUUUGGGCCGGUUUCCUACCCCGCGCACAGCUGCCACCCAA